rnacentral:lncRNA from 1 species
UGCUGGUUCCGGUAGGUUGCAUAGACAUCGAGCUUGUCGUAGUAGACACCGAUUUUGUCAUUUGGGUUGCGAGAAGAGAAGGUGAUUUGAAAGUUGGAGGUGAGGAAGUUGGGUAUGGAGGCGUUGAAGGCGUAAACGGUGACGUCUUGAAGGACGAACUUGGGCUUGCUAGGGCGGAGGAUGGCCCAGAUUAUGAGAAUUGUAAUGAGGACAAGGAAGA